rnacentral:rRNA from 1 species
UACGUAGGGAGCAAGCGUUGUCCGGAAUCAUUGGGCGUAAAGCGCGCGUAGGCGGCCCUGUAAGUCCGUUGUGAAAGUCAAAGGCUCAACCUUUGAAAGCCGAUGGAUACUGCAGGGCUAGAGUCCGGAAGAGGCGAGUGGAAUUCCUGGUGUAGCGGUGGAAUGCGCAGAUAUCAGGAGGAACACCAAUAGCGAAGGCAGCUCGCUGGGACGGUACUGACGCUAAGGCGCGAAAGCGUGGGGAGCAAACAGG